CACGUAGGGCGCAAGCGUUGUCCGGAAUUAUUGGGCGUAAAGAGCUCGUAGGCGGUCUGUUGCGUCCGCUGUGAAAACUCGGGGCUUAACCCCGAGCCUGCAGUGGAUACGGGCAGACUAGAGGUAGGUAGGGGAGAAUGGAAUUCCCGGUGUAGCGGUGAAAUGCGCAGAUAUCGGGAGGAACACCGGUGGCGAAGGCGGUUCUCUGGGCCUUACCUGACGCUGAGGAGCGAAAGCUAGGGGAGCAAACGGG
rnacentral:rRNA from 1 species